AGCUUUGGGGUGUCAUCACGUCAGAUUGCAAAUCUGAAGAAGUAGGCUAGCGCUUACCGAGGCUU
rnacentral:tRNA from 1 species